UACAGAGGUGGCAAGCGUUGUUCGGAAUUACUGGGCUUAAAGAGUUCGUAGGCGGCGCAGAAAGUAGGGUGUGAAAGCCCUCGGCUCAACCGAGGAAUUGCGCUCUAAACUACUGUGCUUGAGGGACCUAGAGGUGAGCGGAACUGAUGGUGGAGCGGUGAAAUGCGUUGAUAUCAUCAGGAACACCGGAGGCGAAGGCGGCUCACUGGGGGUCUUCUGACGCUGAGGAACGAAAGCCAGGGGAGCGAACGGG
rnacentral:rRNA from 1 species